rnacentral:rRNA from 1 species
ACACUGGUGCGCGAGAUGAGUAUUCUAAGGCGCUUGAGAGAACUCAGGAGAAGGAACUCGGCAAAUUGACACCGUAACUUCGGAAGAAGGUGUGCCCUAUUAGUGUGUAGUGAACAACGAAGCAUGAAUGGGUUGCAAAAAAUCGGUGGCUGCGACUGUUUAUUAAAAACACAGCACUCUGCAAACACGAAAGUGGACGUAUAGGGUGUGACGCCUGCCCGGUGCUGGAAGAUUAAAUGAUGGGGUGCAAGCUCUUGAUUGAAGUCCCAGUAAACGGCGGCCGUAACAAUAACGGUCCUAAGGUAGCGAAAUUCCUUGUCGGGUAAGUUCCGACCUGCACGAAUGGCGUAACGAUGGCCACACUGUCUCCUCCUGAGACUCAGCGAAGUUGAAAUGUUUGUGAUGAUGCAAUCUCCCCGCGGAAAGACGGAAAGACCCCAUGAACCUUUACUGUAGCUUUGUAUUGGACUUUGAACAGAUCUGUGUAGGAUAGGUGGGAGGCUUUGAAGCAGGGUCGCUAGAUCUUGUGGAGCCAACGUUGAAAUACCACCCUGGUGUGUUUGAGGUUCUAACCUAGGUCCAUUAUCUGGAUCGGGGACAGUGCAUGGUAGGCAGUUUGACUGGGGCGGUCUCCUCCCAAAGCGUAACGGAGGAGUUCAAGGUACGCUAGUUACGGUCGGACAUCGUGACGAUAGUGCAAUGGCAUAAGCGUGCUUAACUGCGAGACUGACAAGUCGAGCAGAUGCGAAAGCAGGACAUAGUGAUCCGGUGGUUCUGUAUGGAAGGGCCAUCGCUCAACGGAUAAAAGGUACUCUGGGGAUAACAGGCUGAUACCGCCCAAGAGUUCAUAUCGACGGCGGUGUUUGGCACCUCGAUGUCGGCUCAUCUCAUCCUGGGGCUGUAGCCGGUCCCAAGGGUAUGGCUGUUCGCCAUUUAAAGAGGUACGUGAGCUGGGUUUAAAACGUCGUGAGACAGUUUGGUCCCUAUCUUCCGUGGGCGCUGCAGAUUUGAGGAAGCCUGCUCCUAGUACGAGAGGACCGGAGUGGACACACCUCUGGUGUAUCGGUUGUCACGCCAGUGGCAUUGCCGAGUAGCUAAGUGUGGAAGAGAUAACCGCUGAAAGCAUCUAAGCGGGAAACUCGUUUCAAGAUGAGAUCUGCCGGGGCCUUGAGCCCCCUAAAGAGUCGUUCAAGACCAGGACGUUGAUAGGUCAGGUGUGGAAGCG